rnacentral:piRNA from 1 species
AAUAGACUUGGCUACGUAGCUGA